CCGAGCGACGCACCUUAAAAGAAAUUAGAAUAUGGCUCAAUAAAACAGGAAAACAUCCUCCUCCUGAUAUCAAUAUUAGUAGUGAUGAUGCAAAUAAUAAUAUUAUGACAACUCCUGUAAAGACGCCACUCACCGUUAAGGCACAAGGGUCGCUUGUAGUUUCAAGUGACGGCAGGACGGCAAAGUCCACACAGGGAUGAAGAUGAGGACAGGAAUAGAUGACUGGCACUUUAAAACUCAGAUCAUUCAUGGAAAGCCAUCAUCUUUAUUAAAAUGCCACAGCUAGUACAACACAAGUGCCACUACUGUUUAUAAUUCCUGCAGCCCUUUCAGUCGGGUAGAUGCGUAAUAUCUCGUAAGUACCCAUCUGCAUCUGUCAACGGGUGUGUGGAAUUAAACUCAUGUGCAUUCUGCUUCUGUUUGACCUUGGCUGUGGACCCUUGGUCUUUUAAUGUCAAAUAAGCAUCAGUAAUCCCAGGCACCGCUUGACAGGCUUCAAGAGUCAUUAGUUUUCUUUCCCAGCUCAUAAGCUUUAUCAAUUGCCCCUUUGUGUAAUGAUUUUGUGUACAAAUUCACACAAGCAUAGUGUUUGGCCUUGUAAAAAUAUACUGCCUUCAAUUCGUGCUAGUAUACCAGCAUAGAUACACACCUUUUUUUUAAUCACCUCGAUUUUUAAAAAAAAUUUAGUAGAGAGGAAAUGUCCUUUUUGCAUGCUUGAUCAGCCAGUGGAAAAAUCCAAUAUAAUGGAGGUUCAAGGUGAAUUGCAUCACCGUGUUAACCCCCAUCUGGGACUGAAGGAAAAUUCCCAAGCUGAAUAAACAAAUCACACAGACAAACACCAAUGUGGUCAUGAAAUAAAUAUUGAUUAGACUGCAUUUCAUACAUAGAUGAAAAUUGCCUUUUUGGCCAAUUGAUGUUGGCCUUUUCAAUACAAUUGAGAAUGAGCCAAGUUUGAAGUUGUCAGGGGUGGAGGAAUGAAGCAAGUGAGGAAGACGAGAGAUUUCAUAGAGUUGAAAAAGGGACAUGCUGCCGCUUUCUUAGCUCAUUAUCAUUCCUAAUAAGUCUUAAGGAAUGAAGGAGCGUUGAGUGUAAAUGCACGGUAAUCCUUCUACUGUCCAAGGUUAGGAGGGACGUCAGCACAGACGCACCAUUCCCAGCUGGCCACUUUGGGACCAGAGGCGCACCAUAUAGGAUAGUUGUUCAAGGAGAAAGUGAGGGCGU